rnacentral:rRNA from 1 species
UGAGGAAUAUUGGGCAAUGCCCGCAAGGGUGACCCAGCAACGCCGCGUGGAGGAUGAAUGUCGUAAGAUUGUAAACUCCUGUUAGAGGGGAAGAAUAGUACCGGUUGGACCGGUAUAUGACUGUACCCUCAGAGAAAGCCCCGGCUAACUACGUGCCAGCAGCCGCGGUAAUACGUAGGGGGCAAGCGUUGUCCGGAUUUACUGGGUGUAAAGGGCGCGCAGGCGGGAUAAAAAGUCAGUGGUGAAAUCCUACAGCUUAACUGUAGAACUGCCUUUGAUACUUUUAUUCUUGAGUUCGGGAGAGAGACGGAAUUCCAGGUGUAGUGGUGAAAUACGUAGAUAUCUGGAAGAACACCAGUUGCGAAGGCGGUCUCUUGGUCCGACACUGACGCUGAGGCGCGAAAGCGUGGGGGGCAAACA